GCCCUGAUACCCCAAUCGGCAGAGGGAAAUAGCUCAAACCUAUUACAGUGUGGGUUCGAGUCCCACUCAGGGCA
rnacentral:tRNA from 2 species